rnacentral:ncRNA from 1 species
GUUCAAAAGAGGAAAGGCUUGCGGUGGAUACCUAGGCACCCAGAGACGAGGAAGGGCGUAGCAAGCGACGAAAUGCUUCGGGGAGUUGAAAAUAAGCAUAGAUCCGGAGAUUCCCAAAUAGGUCAACCUUUUAAACUGCCUGCUGAAUCCAUGAGCAGGCAAGAGACAACCUGGCGAACUGAAACAUCUUAGUAGCCAGAGGAAAAGAAAGCACAAGCGAUUCCCGUAGUAGCGGCGA